rnacentral:rRNA from 1 species
AGCUUGCUACUGGACCUAGCGGCGGACGGGUGAGUAAUGCUUAGGAAUCUGCCUAUUAGUGGGGGACAACAUUCCGAAAGGAAUGCUAAUACCGCAUACGUCCUACGGGAGAAAGCAGGGGACCUUCGGGCCUUGCGCUAAUAGAUGAGCCUAAGUCGGAUUAGCUAGUUGGUGGGGUAAAGGCCUACCAAGGCGACGAUCUGUAGCGGGUCUGAGAGGAUGAUCCGCCACACUGGGACUGAGACACGGCCCAGACUCCUACGGGAGGCAGCAGUGGGGAAUAUUGGACAAUGGGGGGAACCCUGAUCCAGCCAUGCCGCGUGUGUGAAGAAGGCCUUAUGGUUGUAAAGCACUUUAAGCGAGGAGGAGGCUACUAGUAUUAAUACUACUGGAUAGUGGACGUUACUCGCAGAAUAAGCACCGGCUAACUCUGUGCCAGCAGCCGCGGUAAUACAGAGGGUGCGAGCGUUAAUCGGAUUUACUGGGCGUAAAGCGUGCGUAGGCGGCCAUUUAAGUCAAAUGUGAAAUCCCCGAGCUUAACUUGGGAAUUGCAUUCGAUACUGGAUGGCUAGAGUAUGGGAGAGGAUGGUAGAAUUCCAGGUGUAGCGGUGAAAUGCGUAGAGAUCUGGAGGAAUACCGAUGGCGAAGGCAGCCAUCUGGCCUAAUACUGACGCUGAGGUACGAAAGCAUGGGGAGCAAACAGGAUUAGAUACCCUGGUAGUCCAUGCCGUAAACGAUGUCUACUAGCCGUUGGGGCCUUUGAGGCUUUAGUGGCGCAGCUAACGCGAUAAGUAGACCGCCUGGGGAGUACGGUCGCAAGACUAAAACUCAAAUGA